CUGAUGUAAGCUAUAUGAAUCAUGAAUUUUUUAUGGAUGUCAUCAAAGUCCUAAGUUUUGUUUCAUCAGUAAAAUUAUCUGUGCACUUGUUGAAAUCGGAUGCAUGAGUGAGCUGCUUCACUAGAAGGAAGGCUGAGAAAUGACUUCAGCUCACCUUCUUUUGAUCAUCCAACCCUGUCACUGAGGGGCAGUCUGUAUCAUCUAUGUGAAGAUAUUCAUGUGCAUGAGUCCAAUAAUGUUUCAUUGUUCCUAGUCAUUGUAUGGAACAGUACAAUAAAAAGAGGUUAUGAUGAAGAAGUGUGUAAAGAUGAUUAAUGCUUGAAACAGAAGGUAGUGGGUGUUGUCAUCCAAACCUCCAGGGAAUUCCGGCUCAGCUCAUUUGGCUUUAUUGGAUAAGGCCUGGUGAUGGGGGGCAGCAGGGUGAGCUCUCUUAGUCCAUUGUGUCCUCUCUCAAAUGAGAUGAGGACCACGGAUUGUUUUCUUUAUUAUAAUACCUGACUCGAAGAUUGCAGUUGUAGCAGAGGUGUCCCUGGCCUUGCACACACACACACGCGCACCCCUGCACACACAUACACUGACACAAAUGCCCCUUUUCCACCGGCUCGGCUCUACUCGGUCUGCUUUAUGAGCGUUUCCAGCGGCCUUUUUUCGGGGCUGGCCCUGCUUUUCAGGUCCCUGCUUAGGAGUAGGACUAGCGGCGGCCCUGCUUUUCUGGGUGACGCAAGCUUCACUCCUGUUCACUGAUUGGCCGUGGGCGUAGUCAGAAGAGCAGCAAAGAGAGAAGGAAAAUGAAGGCGCGACGUUUCAAACUCUCUGCAACACGGAAGUAAUAGAAGAUACAAUCAUGAGCCUCGUUAGCCACUUUGGAGCCCGACUGUGAACACCGACUCAGAUGCAGCUAACGCCGCUGCUGAUCUCCAGCCAGCUCUAACAUCUGAUUACCUUUCCCAGAGAACAGAGGAGGAACAUGACUGACAUGAUGGAGAACGAUGAGGAGAACCGUCAGAACAACAACUGAAUCUCCUUCAGGAGGAAGCAGCUACCAGCAGAGAUGGCAGAGCUCCAUGAAGAGUUGAGACACAAGAAAAAUAAAUGCUGUUUUCUCUUAA